GUUAGCGGCGGACGGGUGAGUAACACGUGGAUAACCUACCUAUAAGACUGGGAUAAUUCGGGAACCGGAGUAAUACCGGAUAUAUAUUGAACCCAUGGUUCAUAKUGAAAGAGGUUUGUGUCACUAUAGAUGGAUCCGCGCGCAUUAGCUAGUUGGUAAGGUAACGGCUACCAAGGCACGAUGCRUAGCCGACCUGAGAGGGUGAUCGGCCACACUGGAACUGAGACCGGUCCAACUCCUACGGGAGGCAGCAGUAGGGAAUCUU
rnacentral:rRNA from 1 species